rnacentral:siRNA from 1 species
UUGACUUACGGUUAAUGGAUGU